AUGUCCAGGGAUGGGAUUCGAACCUACAGUGUCCGCUUACCAGGCAGAUACCAUGUCCACUAGGCUGUUA
rnacentral:tRNA from 1 species